GAAUAACAGCGGCUAGUGUUUGCUUAAGAAUAAUGGUCAUGAACAUAAUAUCCCAUGAUUAAUUCAUGCGGUCCAGGGACUCGUAAACAUCCCCGAUACGAGAUCCGUCAUGACAGGCUCCUUAUCACGUCUAGGCGUCGCAUUCCCACGACCUGGGCAUCUCGGGGCGUUAUGCCCAUGGCAUCAAGAUGUUGUGGUACUUGGCAUCUAGUAAGUGACACUCACUAUAUAUAGCAAAGCAAAAUGGGGCUUUCUAUCUACACGCCUCAUAUCCGGUAUAUAAGAAUCGAUAGCAAUGCUCUCAGUGUUACACUUACAGCAUGAGGAAUAAGUAGUGCCUAUCUGGAGUCCACUGGGGACGCGUGUGUUUCGCUUUAUUGCUAUCGCUUGGAACUUGAAAGAAUAGUGCGUUUUAUCUUUAGGGUCGAACUCGAGGAUGAUUAAAUAGUUUCCCCUCUUUCUCGAGUCAUUUUCAGUGGCACAUCCCACAUCCACUUCGCAGGACUUCGUUAUCUUAGUUGAAACUUGUGUGAGCGAUGUGCGAGAUGGUGCCGUGACGCUCGUUGUGAUUCUGGGACGCCUCUUAGUGGCCGAAUCGAAAGCCAUGAGCAGUGAAAACGACACGAGCGCCGACAGCAGCGAUGUGUAUCUCACGAAGGUCAUCCUCGGCGUGUACUUCACGAGCAGCGUGUUCACUUUCAUCGAGUGUCUGUUCGCCGUGUACAUAAGCAGGACGAACGCCUCCUUGAAGAGAAGACCUUCGAAAUACUUCUCAUACAACCUAGUGUUAAGCGUCGGACUUCUGGCGGGGAUAUCGCUCGUUUAUGGCGCCUGUCUGUUAUUCAUUCCCGAUUCCAGCCACAUAUCCACAGCAGGAUGCUUCAUCAGGGUCGUGCAGCGGUGCCUCAGCGCCGUGUCGUGCCUCACGCUCACGUGCCUGGCCCUGGACAGGUACGUGUCCAUCUGCUGGCCCUUGCGGUACUACCAGAUCAUCACGGAAGUGAGAACGUUAAUCUUAAGUGUCGGGUGUUGGUUAGCUGGAUUCCUACUGCCGAUGCUGCCUUGCGCUACACAACUGCCGACGUUCUGUCUCAGCGGCGCAUCAAACUUCAUUUUUCUAGCGUCCUACGCCGCCGUGUACAACCUAGGGGCCUUCAGCAUGCUGGUUUUCUAUCUCCUGGUAAACCGCGAGUUUCGGCAGUACCCUUCUAAUCAGAGGCACGAGAACAGCGCCCUGGCACAAACGGAACAACUGGUGCGGUUGAAAACGGCCAGAUCGACCGUCAGAGUCUUGCUCCUUUACAGCCUGCUCUCUCUGCCCCACAUGAUUCUGCCGCUGGUGAACCGCAUGUUGGGAUGGUCGGGCGUGUGGUUUUCGGUCGUGUACCACCUGUGCCAUCUCCUGCACCGCCUGCACCUUCUGCUGUUCCUCCCGAUGUACAUGUGGGCCAACAGCGACUCCCACGAGGCGCUCCUGGCCUCCUUCAGGACGAUCUGCCAGAGGCUCCCCUGCUGCUGUAAGGAGGAGAACGUCUGCUCCACCUGUCUCUGCGGCUUCUUCGGAUUCCUCUACGAGUUUUUUUGUUGCCCUUCCGAGCGGAAUUCUCGCCGUCUGCCCCUGGAGGAGGAGCUAAGUCAAGUAAGGGUUCAGAAAACUAAGUUGAAGGUAUUGAUGGCUUGACUGGUUAUAAACACAAGCGUCACGCCAGCAGAGGCUGCAGGCGACGAAAACAGAAAGAAAGCGCUUCCGUACUAUCGGCUGUGACAGUGACCAGAGCUGACUAAAAACAAACUGCGUAAUGUUUCAAAUUACGAAGGAAGAUGACAAGAUCUACAUUCGUGGAAAUUGAUGACUGAGCACCAUGGAGACGAAAUCAGUCUGUAGAGACAGUCCAUGAACAAAGAAGGCCUCUACCUGAUGACAAAUUGAACAGGCUUUCGGCGGACAAAUAGGCAGAAGAAGACAUCAACUCCUUAUCCGUUAAGGACAAGCACCGCUGUGAUUAUCCAAAUAAAUAAUAUAUUGAUUACUGUGUAAUGACGCAAUUAUUGUUGUGAAAUGUGUAAAAGAUUUAUUAAAGUAAAUCUCAUACA